CGGGUAUAAGGGUGGUGGAGGCAGGUACGUGAUUGUCAGCCACGCAUUUUCUCAGAAAUAGAGGCACUCCUGACUUGCAGUCAGCAGCAUAUGACUGACUCCCCAGCUUGUCAGAUUCUCUGCUUCUUUGUGGCACAGUUUUCGGAUAGAAAUCUGCAAGAGGCAAUCCGCCACACCAUCUUUUAUUAUCAGGUCAUGGCAGCAAACAGAGGCACUAUGAUAAACAACCUCUCGAGGAACUUCAACAGCUCCACGCACACGGGGCGAGCUAACGUCGCCAAAGCCACUUUCGCUACCUGUGCUCUCGUGGUCCUGUUGUAUAAUGCGAAGCAAUAUAAAAACGCUAGCUAACUUUUAACACUAAUUAGGGUCACAAGCCAAAUGCAACCUUGUAAUCAUGGCGUGGCAGUGUUAGAUCGAAUCGACAAAUGUUCCAAAAUACCUGAACAGUACUUGGGUUAAGUGUGCUUUGAACAAACUCCUAGUCAUUUAUGCUUGUUCUGUUUUUUUUCUGUCGUGUGUGGUACAUCCACGUACAUAUGCCGGUACAACGCUCAGGCACAACUGUCAUGUCACUGAUCGCCGCGCACUGUAGUAUCGAAUGGUCAGUGCGGUUGCGAGUAUAUUGUCUCCGGAAUGACAUUAUUUGGGCAAUAAAUGUCGGGUCUGUCGUCAA